rnacentral:lncRNA from 1 species
UUGAGUGUUUUGUUCCAGUCAACCUGUAUAGAAAAGAACGAUGAUCACAACAGUGGAAGAAUUACGUUGAACGGGAAUCGGGAAGGGCCUCAUCAGAGGCAUUUUUGUGAAACUCCCUGCGGUGACGGCGCUAGGCUUCACCGGUGUUUUCUGGCUAAUUGGCCAAUCUUUUCACUCUGAUUUGGCCAUGAAUGAGCUUAAAAUUUAAUUUCGUGCGAAAGGGGAAGUUUUUACCUUUUUUGGCGUUCGAAAA